AAUCAACGCUGGCGGCGUGCCUCAGACAUGCAAGUCGAACGAGAACCUCCCUUCGGGGGAGGAGACAGUGGCGCACGGGUGAGUAACACGUGGGUAAUUUACCUUUGGGUGGGGAACAACAGCCGGAAACGGCUGCUAAUACCGCAUAAUGCAGCGGCUCGACAUCGAGACAGUUGUUAAAGCGGGGGAUCGCAAGACCUCGCGCCUGAAGAGAAGCCUGCGGCGGAUAGCUAGUUGGUAGGGUGAUGGCCUACCAAGGCGACGAUCUGUAACCGGCCUGAGAGGGCGGUCGGUCACACUGACGCUGACAUACGGGUCAGACUCCUACGGGAGGCAGCAGUCGGGAAUUUUGGGCAAUGGGCGAAAGCCUGACCCA
rnacentral:rRNA from 1 species